rnacentral:rRNA from 1 species
AACGAACGCUGGCGGCAUGCCUAACACAUGCAAGUCGAACGAUUGCCUUCGGGUGAUAGUGGCGCACGGGUGCGUAACGCGUGGGAAUCUGCCCUUAGGUUCGGAAUAACAGCUGGAAACGGCUGCUAAUGCCGGAUGAUAUCGCGAGAUCAAAGAUUUAUCGCCUGAGGAUGAGCCCGCGUUGGAUUAGGUAGUUGGUGGGGUAAAGGCCUACCAAGCCGACGAUCCAUAGCUGGUCUGAGAGGAUGAUCAGCCACACUGGGACUGAGACACGGCCCAGACUCCUACGGGAGGCAGCAGUGGGGAAUAUUGGACAAUGGGCGCAAGCCUGAUCCAGCAAUGCCGCGUGAGUGAUGAAGGCCCUAGGGUUGUAAAGCUCUUUUACCCGGGAAGAUAAUGACUGUACCGGGAGAAUAAGCCCCGGCUAACUCCGUG